rfam:Picea glauca, whole genome shotgun sequence.
GCAUGCUUACAUCAUAGUGUUAAUGCACCAGAUCCCAUUAGAACUUUGCAGUUAAGAGAACUCAAGCUAGAGUAGCACUUGGAUGGGUGAUUGCAUGGGAAGUCCUAGUAUUUUACAUGCC